AUGGAGAAAGCACAGAGAAAGGAAGGAUUAUUCACAAAGUUGAUUAAAAUCACUCAAGAUGCUCCUCCUCAGCUCUGCUGCCUCAAAUUUUUUCAAAUGCUUCAAAAGGUCUUUCAGAGAAGGACCACUACCACAUGGUUAGACACAGAUUCUUUCAGGAUCCUAAGGAGCAACCCUGUUGAGAGAAAAUAAAAUCUCCUUCCUGUCAAUGUAAGCUAUUUAGCCCUCACCAGUGGGGUUCUAUUUACACAAUUAGCCACUCG
rnacentral:lncRNA from 1 species